UGCCUCAGUAACGGCGAGUGAAGCGGCAACAGCUCAAAUUUGAAAUCUGGCCUCACGGUCCGAAUUGUAAUUUGUAGAGGAUGUUUCGAACGUGGUCCGGUCUAAGUUCCUUGGAACAGGACGUCAUAGAGGGUGAGAAUCCCGUAUGCGACUGGGUGCCUAAGUUCAUGUGAAACUCCUUCGACGAGUCGAGUUGUUUGGGAAUGCAGCUCAAAAUGGGUGGUAAAUUUCAUCUAAAGCUAAAUACUGGCCAGAGACCGAUAGCGCACAAGUAGAGUGAUCGAAAGAUGAAAAGCACUUUGGAAAGAGAGUUAAACAGUACGUGAAAUUGUUGAAAGGGAAGCGCUUGCAAUCAGACUUGCAUGCAGUUGAUCAUCCGGUGUUCUCACCGGUGCACUCAGCUGCAUUCAGGCCAGCAUCAGUUUCGGUGGUUGGAUAAAGGCUCUGGGAACGUAGCUUCUUUCGGGGAGUGUUAUAGCCCAGGGUGCAAUGCAGCCUACCGGGACUGAGGACCGCGCUUCGGCUAGGAUGCUGGCGUAAUGGUUGUAAGCGACCCGUCUUGAAACACGGACCAAGGAGUCUAACAUUUAUGCGAGUGUUUGGGUGUCAAACCCAUACGCGUAAUGAAAGUGAACGGAGGUGAGAACCCUUAAGGGUGCAUCAUCGACCGAUCCUGAUGUCUUCGGAUGGAUUUGAGUAAGAGCAUAACUGUUGGGACCCGAAAGAUGGUGAACUAUGCGUGGAUAGGGUGAAGCCAGAGGAAACUCUGGUGGAGGCUCGCAGCGGUUCUGACGUGCAAAUCGAUCGUCAAAUCUGCGUAUAGGGGCGAAAGACUAAUCGAACCAUCUGAACCUACUGCUGGAUGGAACAUCUAGGUGCUAGAAGUACCUACGUAGUCUCUGCGGAGGCAACAUUACCACUGUGCAGGCGUGCCAUCUGGCUACCUGCAGCGGGGCAACCCGUCCACAGACUAAACGGUGAUGGCCCUAUCUCUAGGGUUCUGAUAUAGCCGAUUCCUGCCUCUAGCCGGGCAGGGUCAA
rnacentral:rRNA from 1 species